UACGUAGGCAGCGAGCGUUUGUUCGGAGUUACUGGGCGUAAAGAGUGCGUAGGCGGUUUUCUAAGUUUGGCGUGAAAUCUCCCGGCUUAACUGGGAGGGUGCGCCGAAAACUGGAAGGCUUGAGUAUGGGAGAGGUAAGCGGAAUUCCUGGUGUAGCGGUGAAAUGCGUAGAUAUCAGGAGGAACACCUGCGGUGUAGACGGCUUACUGGACCAUAACUGACGCUGAGGCACGAAAAGCGUGGGUAGCAAACAGG
rnacentral:rRNA from 1 species